UACGUAGGCAGCAAGCGUUGUUCGGAGUUACUGGGCGUAAAGGGUGCGUAGGCGGUUAUUUAAGUUUGGUGUGAAAUCUCCCGGCUCAACCGGGAGGGUGCGCCGAAUACUGAAUGACUUGGAGUGCGGGAGAGGAAAGUGGAAUUCCUGGUGUAGCGGUGAAAUGCGUAGAUAUCAGGAGGAACACCGGUGGUGUAGACGGCUUUCUGGACCGUAACUGACGCUGAGACACGAAAGCGUGGGUAGCAAACAGG
rnacentral:rRNA from 1 species